UACGUAGGUGGCAAGCGUUGUCCGGAUUUACUGGGCGUAAAGAGCGCGCAGGCGGUCGUUCAAGUCGCGUGUGAAAGCCCCCGGCUCAACUGGGGAGGGUCACGCGAUACUGAUCGACUCGAAGGCAGGAGAGGGUAGUGGAAUUCCCGGUGUAGUGGUGAAAUGCGUAGAUAUCGGGAGGAACACCAGUGGCGAAGGCGACUACCUGGCCUGUUCUUGACGCUGAGGCGCGAAAGCUAGGGGAGCAAAGCGGGG
rnacentral:rRNA from 1 species